UACAGAGGGGGCAAGCGUUAUUCGGAAUUAUUGGGCGUAAAGGGCGCGUAGGCGGCCUGGCAAGUGGAAGGUGAAAUCCCUCGGCUUAACCGAGGAACUGCCCUCCAAACUGCUUGGCUUGAGUCCGGGAGAGGUGAGUGGAAUUCCCAGUGUAGCGGUGAAAUGCGUAGAUAUUAGGAGGAACACCAGUGGCGAAGGCGGCUCACUGGACCGGAACUGACGCUGAGGCGCGAAAGCGUGGGGAGCAAACGGG
rnacentral:rRNA from 1 species